CAGUCGCCGCGGGAAUACAGAGGAUGCAAGCGUUAUCCGGAAUGAUUGGGCGUAAAGCGUCUGUAGGUGGCUUUUCAAGUCCGCCGUCAAAUCCCAGGGCUCAACCCUGGACAGGCGGUGGAAACUACCAAGCUGGAGUACGAUAGGGGCAGAGGGAAUUUCCGGUGGAGUGGUGAAAUGCGUUGAGAUCGGAAAGAACACCAACGGCGAAAGCACUCUGCUGGGCCGACACUGACACUGAGAGACGAAAGCUAUGGGAGCAAAUAGGAUUAGAUACCCCCGUAGUCCCUGUCUCUUAUAC
rnacentral:rRNA from 1 species